UGUGACCUACGGGGCGCAGCAGUGGGGAAUAUUGGGCAAUGGGCGCAAGCCUGACCCAGCAACGCCGCGUGAAGGAAGAAGGCUUUCGGGUUGUAAACUUCUUUUCUGAGGACGAAGAAAGUGACGGUACCUCAGGAAUAAGCCACGGCUAACUACGUGCCAGCAGCCGCGGUAAUACGUAGGUGGCAAGCGUUAUCCGGAUUUACUGGGUGUAAAGGGCGUGUAGGCGGGGACGCAAGUCAGAUGUGAAAAC
rnacentral:rRNA from 1 species